rnacentral:rRNA from 1 species
AGGGAACUGAAUUCCGGGUAACGUGAAUGGUUGAAUCGGGAGACCCCCAUGCGGAGCAGUUCUUUGCCGUUUCUGACGUGAGAGCGAAAGCCUGGGAGCGACCAGAUUAGAUCCCUGGUAGUCCACGCCGUUAACGUGGAUGCUGAUGUGGGCCGUUUCCACGGGUCCGUGGUCCGAGCUACGCGUUUAGCAUCCCGCCUGGGGAGUACGGCCGCAAGGCUAAAACUCAAAGAAAUGNACGGGGCCCGCACAGCGGGGCGGAGCAUGCGGAUUAAUUCGAUGCAACGCGAAGACCNUUACCUGGGCUGNACAUGUUCCNGACGGUCGUAGAGAUACGGCUCCCUUCGGGGCGGGUUCACAGGUGGUGCAUGGUCGUCGUCAGCUCGUGUCGUGAGAUGUUGGGUUAAGUCCCGCAACGAGCGCAACCCUCGCCCCGUGUUGCCAGCGGAUUAUGCCGGGAACUCACGGGGGACCGCCGGGGUUAACUCGGAGGAAGGUGGGGAUGACGUCAGAUCAUCAUGCCCCUUACGUCCAGGGCUUCACGCAUGCUACAAUGGCCGGUACAACGGGAUGCGACGCGGCGACGCGGAGCGGAUCCCUGAAAACCGGUCUCAGUUCGGAUCGCAGUCUGCAACUCGACUGCGUGAAGGCGGAGUCGCUAGUAAUCGCGAAUCAGCAACGUCGCGGUGAAUGCGUUCCCGGGCCUUGUACACACCGCCCGUCAAGUCAUGAAAGUGGGCAGCACCCGAAGCCGGUGGCCUAACCCCUUGUGGGAUGGAGCCGUCUAAGGUGAGGCUCGUGAUUGGGACUAAGUCGUAACAAGGUAGCCGUACCGGAAGGUGCGGCUG